rnacentral:lncRNA from 1 species
UAGACAAAUCAUACAGAGUCCAACUUACAUUGUUAGGGCUAAAAUUGGUACUCCACCUCAAACUUUGCUUUUGGCUAUGGAUACUAGUAAUGAUGCUGCUUGGAUUCCUUGUACUGCUUGUGAUGGUUGUGCUUCAACUUUGUUUGCUCCUGAAAAAUCAACUACAUUUAAGAAUGUUAGUUGUGCUGCUCCUGAAUGCAAACAGGUAUUUACUUCACUAACAAAGACACAUUUUUUUGUCAAGGUUUUCGUGACUAGGUAUAUUUUUAUAUUGGCGUAAAUUUGAUAAAAUUAUGAUAGUACUAUGAUUUCGUGAAACUUUAAAAUGUAGUUUUUGUUAAAAAAUUACGAAGGUUCAUCUUGAUUCUGAUAAUCUCAUCACCGUGAAUCUAAACAUUGGAAGAAAAUUAUGGUUUUAAAUUGUGGUUGUGG